AUGAUCCAAAUAUCGCCUUCCUGCCGACAAACCUCCCCGGCCCCCCAAACCCCCAACCGCUCCAAUCCGGACUCACCCCCGCCUCUCGAACUCGAAACCCCGAUCACCUCCGAAGCAUCCUCCGCUCUGCGCUUCCUCAUCCAUGGAGUCCCGGGCCUAAACCAUCCCCGGAUGGGUCUCGCCGACGCGGCGCGCUCGCGGCUGCUGGCCGCGCUCCGGCCGUGGCUGGCGGCUGACCCGGGGGAGCUGCGGGUGGAGCUAGGCCCGCUCCGCUCCCGCGCCGUCGCGCGUGGGCUCGAGCUCGGCGCCGCGGUGCUCUCCGCGCCGGACUCCUUCCCCGCCAGGGUCGACCGCGCGGCCGUCGCCGAGGUCGAGCUCGCCGUCUCGCCCUGGGGCGCCCCCGCGCUGGCCGCAGUCCUGCGCGGCGUCGACGUCUCGCUCACCCUCAGGGAGCCUGCGCCGCGGAAGCAGCGGCCAGACAUCCAGGAAUGGGUAUCCAAGGAGAAGAAGAGAGUGAUUGCAUCAAUGGACCCUCAGGGUGAAAUAUUGCAUGAGAUGAUUGAAGGUUUAGUUAGCUCCCUGGAAGAUAAGUUUACCUCGGGAUUUGCCAGUGUACUUCUAAACUGUAGUCAGGUGCGGGUUGAUGAUAUCACAAUACAAGUUCGGUAUCUUGAUGACUCCCAUAUUUUGGUAUUGAGGGCAACUGACUUACAGUUAGGUCCUGAGCUUGUUUCUCGCUGUUCUCUGUUCAGAGGAUUAGUUGGCUCUUCUAUAUCAUCAAUAAAGAAGAAUCACCUUCUUGUUAAAUGUAAUGAUUUUGAGUUUGUGAUGAAGGAGAAUGAUUGUACAGAUUGCACUGCAUCUUUUACAGGCUUAUCUGCUUGUGCUAGACUGGAUAAUCUCCAACUUGCUGCUUUUAGCAUCCAUGUUCCCAGUGCAUGCUGCAAAAUUUCACCAAAAGCUAUUCCUUCGUUGAUGGUGAUUUUGGAUAUUACUAGUCAAAAGGAACACUACAGGACUAGGAGUGGUAGGGAGCUCUGGCAAAUUGCUAUGCAAAAGCUUGAAAGCCCAAUAGUAGGCCGCAGAUUUUCUUUAAGCAAGGCCUUAAGCUGUGCUACUUUCUGGCAGCACUAUGUUCAUGCUUAUGUGUUGCUGUUAUCAUUAGUUGGAUAUCCCUCUGACAUGGUUAUAAAGAAGAAUUGUGGUAGGGUGUCAAGGAACAGGAAAAUGUUGGGAGCUAUCAGAGAUCAUUGGGUAAAUGUUCUUGAGCUGGAGGAGAAAGUUCCUGUAGAAGCUAUUGCUAGAGCACGACGUGCUGCCCGUUCAAAACUUGCCAUAUCACAGCAACAGAACAAGCAAGAAUCAUCAAAAACGCUUCUGGUUUCUUCCAUAAUGAAAAUUCUCUCUCCUUUUUUAUAUUUGUGGAGGUUUGUUGUAUUCGUAUUCUGGUCAGUGUGGAGAGCUAGGGAUUCUGGAAACAAAACAUGUAGAUCCCGUGCACACAUUUUUCCUGGUUUUUCUCAUGAUUCAGACAUGGAGUUUCAGCUCGGAAUUCACCUUGGGGAACUCUCUGUAAUCCUGUUACCUUUUGCUGAUCACUCCAUCGGCAUGAAAAAGUUAAACAAUGGAAGCAAGAGUUAUCACACCGAUUUACCUUCGAUAGAUUUGGUAAUAAAAUCAUCAUGCUUACUUUACUCAGCUGGUUGCAUCACACAAUCGCUGUUUUUCGUAGCUGGAGAACUGAAGGUUUUUCUCUCCGGUGUCCCAAAGUUGUCACGAGCGGAUAAUAGCAACACACUUGGGAGGAAUUCAUCUUUUAAAACUGCAGAGUUUUCCGAAGACACUGAUUCAAAGAUGAUCUUCUGGAGCGAUUCUGCCAGUAUGCACCCAUUUUCCGAAAAACAAUCUGAUGAAUUUCCCCAGAGUGAUGGUUCGUCCACUGCUGUUCUACAAAGUGGUAUGGAGAAACUAUGGAGGGAAUGGAUGUUAAUCAGCAAUUUAUACAAUGAAUCUGGUGUGAUACAUCAUGAAAAGCCUUCUGUUAUUUUUGAAGUCAAAUCAUAUGUUGUUGAUCCUUACCAAAAUAUAAGUGGGUUUCAGCAAUGCAGAUUUACAGUCGGUAAACUAAACCUUGAUUUGGAUUAUCAGUGUGCUUCAUCGACCUAUAUGCUGCACAGACAGUUCAUGCAUUACAAACAUCUGAAAGAGCUAAACAGAAAUAUGCCAGACCUUCUGAUUCCUGGUGCCUUUAUAACACCUGCAAGUGGAGUUCUUGAUAAACUGAGAUCAUUCACUCAGAUAAUGAAUAUUGUGAUGUCAGAUGCUAUUCCAGAAAAUACCCUCCAGAUUGAAGCACUGAUUGCUGGUCCCAGUAUCCGGUUAUCCUUUGAUAAGAACAAUUUGUUGCAAAAUUGCAAAAAUAAGUAUGUGCCCCUAUUUUCUCGGAUGAAUAGCAGGACGUCCUGCAUAGUUCUCAGUCUGGCAUAUGUUGAAUGUGCCAUGUGGCCAGCAUCCCUAUCUACUCCAGCGAGAUCUAAUUCACAUGACAAAGAAUCACAUAGUACAUUCUGCAUGAAGGAGGUGCAAGAACCUGCUUAUCCUGCAACGAAAAGUAGUGCAAGACAUGUUUAUCCAGAGAAUAUUAUGUUAGAUGCUUGCUUCAAAUUGGCUAAUCUAACUCUUCUGAUAGAUAAUUUAGAGACCAAUCAUCAGUGUCAUGUAUUUGGACCAAUGUCGGCCAAUUUCCAACUGUCAUCAGGCAGGAAGUAUGUGCAUUCCUUCUUCGCAGACAGAAACGUUCUGUCAAUGAACUUAGGAGGAGGAACUGUUGGUUGCAUAGCUUUGUUCUACAUGGAUGAAUUGUUUACUGUUUGCCAGCUUAUUGAAAGUAUGCAUCUGGUGGCAUUGAAUUCUGACUUGGUUAAUGUUAAGUAUUCCCAAGAUUUUAUUGGAAGGCUAGCAUCGUUCUGCAAUAAAAAUGUGGUGGGGAGCACAAGAGAUCUUGGCAUUGAUCGUAUUGCCCAGGAAGAAUCAAUUGACUCUCAUACAGAACUCAUGGUUGAAGUGGAACUUGAAUUGGAAUCAACAUACAUCAUCUUUAGUACUUCACGUGGUGGACUUUUUCCGAAUCCUGCCGUCUUUGUCAACAACACCAUAAACUACAUCAGCAGCUCUCCUAUAUUUGAGGGGAUAACAACACAGGAAUUGCAUGAUAUGUUAGCUUUGGGUGUUGGGUUCUGCAUCAGAAGUUCUUCUUUGAAACUUCUGCUUGGUGGACAAUGUACAGACAUCCUUGUUAGUUUAUCCGGAAUUCAGUCUGUGGUAUUCGAGAACCAAGUUGAACACACAACUAUGCUUAGUAGUUUACCAUAUAACAAGAACCAGUUCAUUAUAACAGAAUGCACCUUCCAUCUGCGUGCUGGGCCCACUAAAGAUAGCUUGACCAUUGAGAAAAUGGAAGACGAAUCUAGAAGUGGUCGCGUUUCUGAUUCUUUGGGAAUUUGCUAUUCUAUUGAAAUUGAAUUUACAGAGAUUUAUAUUGGAGACUACAGGGUUCACAACUAUUUAACUGAAGUCAAUCAACCCAGUAGACAGAAAAUUUCUCUGUUGAUGGACGAUAAUCUUCAGAUUUUCAAAUGCAAAAUCCAGGGUGGCUUGAUCUUUCUUGAAACAAUUUUCUUAGCUAAGCUUGUUUUCUGUUGCAAAAUUUAUUUUUGGCUGCUUAUGGAUCUCCCAGUGCGGGCAACUUCAAAUAUAGCCAAAGAUUCAGUAACUUCAGUCUCUACAAAAAGUGACCCUAAUGUGAUCAACAGUUAUACACAGGGGGAAGUAUCAUCGGUGUCUUUAGGUGUUCAUUCACAAAGUGAGGAAUCCCAUUUGAAUGCUAUCAAAUGUCUAGAUAUUGAUUUAUCUCGGAUUUCUAUAACACUUGCUGUUGCGGAUGAAUCUGGUACAUACCAGGGAUUAACCCUCGAAGUUGACGCAAGUUUUCAACUAUUGAAAUUUGGCAUGAAGAUUUUGUUUGAGGUGAAGUGUCUUUCAGUCUCCACUAUUAGUAGUAUGCCCAAGAGUGCCCAUGAACAGUUGAGAGAUGUGCCAGCACCCCGUUUUCGGUCCAGAAAGUCUACUGUUCUUACAUCUCAGUCUGAAAUUCAAGAAUAUCUUCCAUUUAUAGAAGCAGAUAAUGGUGUUACCCAUGAUCGUGAUGCUCCUGCAAGUUCAACUUCUACAUUAGAAAGUUCAACAGGCAAUACAAUUGAAUUUUCUUCACAUAAGAGUUAUAUCCUCAGCCAUUUCUCUACUUCUCUUAAGAUAGAGAAAAAACAAUUGGAUAGAGAUUCUAAUUUGAUGUGUUUAAGUGGUGAUUGGUGUGGAAACGGUUUUGUUUCUGGUUUGGAGGUGACAAUGUCAUUAUCAAGCAUUGAGAUGAUCUCGUCAUUACUUGCUCCUUUUCAUGGAAUGCUGAGUUCUACUGCAACUCAGAAGGAAAUACAGAUUGGUGACACCACUCAGCAAGAACAGCUGGAUAAUAUAGAUUGUACUAUACCUGAUGGAGCAAUUGUGGCUAUACGAGAUCUUGAUCAACAGGUGUAUGUAUCAGUCAAAAAUAUUGGAAUGAAGUAUCAAGUGGUCGGUGCAUACCAUUAUUCCCUUGCUGGUGAACAUGCAUUAUUUAAGGUGAAACACCAUAAGAGAUGGAGGUCAGACACACCAUAUAUUUCUCUUUUAUCUUUAUGUGCAAAAACUGAUGAAGGCAAAGAGCUGGCCCUUAGUUUCUCCCAAGGAUCAGAUUUGGUUGAAAUUUCUUCAUUUGUUGACAAGCCUUGUUCACUGUGGAGCAUGUUUCCUCUUGGGUUUGAUAGUUUUGAGGAUGACGAAGAUGAUGGUAAUUCUUGCAAGGUUAUUUCAAGUAGUUCUUACCAUCUUGUGAACAAGAAAAACAAUUAUGGCAUUGCAUUUGUGGAUGGUCUACUGGAGUUUGUGAAAAAGCCAGGAAAUCCAUUUAAGUUGAAGAUUUUGAAUGAAUCUCUAUUCUCUGAUGUUGCAAGGCUCAUUGUUCCCAAUAUGAACUUGGAUGGUAACUCUUAUUUGGAUGUGGAAGAUGAAUUACCUUCUGCUGUAAUGGAUAGGUUGGAAACUGUUGCAAGUUCACAACAUAUAACCAUCAGUAUUGAUAAGAUUGUUUUUACCAUUACGCAUGAAGUGUUUGAUACUGGUGAUGUUUUUCCACUUGUCCAAAACUGCAUAAAUGAUAUCCGUGUUGUCACACAAAUAUACCCAUCCAAGAUCAGGAUCCUAAGUUCAUUCAAAGUUUCAGGGCAGUACUUCGAUGCCCGCAAAAAUAUGUGGGAGGACCUUAUCUCACCUAUCACUUCCUAUGUGUUCUUACGAUUUAGAUUUUUCAACCAAAAUCCAGUUACUAGACGUAGCGGGGCCCCACUGCGUUUCUUCUUUCAUUUAAAGCAGGUGGAUAUUUUCAUAAAUGAGCUUUCAGUUGACAUGCUGCUUUAUUUGGUCGGGAAGUUAGGCUUGAUGGGUCCAUAUGCUGUGAGAAACUCAGCUAUUUUUCCUAACUGCUGCAAGAUAGAGAAUAACUCAAGGCUGGCACUUGUAUGUCAUUUUCAAAAUAAUGGGGAUGCAAUUGUUCCUGGACAACAGUCAACUUCAGUCUUCUUGAGGAAUUUUAUAUUUAAUGAUAAUCGCCCACAUGAUCAGAGCUUAGUUUCUAUUUCGUUAUUCAAGGAAGGGGCAUUUUCAACUGCUCCAAUCAAUAUUCCUCUCCAUGAGUCUGGCAUCUUUGCAUGGAGAACCCUAGCAUCGUCUCUCAAAGAUUCAAGACGCUUCUCUGGACCAUUUGUUGUGGUCAAGGUGUCCCAGAAUUCUGUGGAAGGUUUAUCGCUUUCAGUCCAACCUUUGUUGAGGAUAUAUAAUAAGAGUGACUUUCCCCUCGAACUUCGGUUUCAGAGGCCACAAAAUGAGAAUGAAGAUGCAGCACUUGUCACAGUUCGAAGCGGUGACAUGGUUGAUGAAUCUACUGGAGUACUUGACGCUAUGAAUUUAUCUGGAGGAUCCAAAAAAGUGCUGAUGUCUCUAGCCCUUGGAAAUUUUAUGCUUUCAAUUAGACCUGAGAUGUCCGAACACUCAAAUCUGAAUCAUGCAACUUUAUUCCAAUGGUCAGAAGACAUAACCGGUGAAAAAGCAGUUCGCAUAUCUGGUGUUAUAGAAAAACUUAAUUACAACAUAAGAAAAGCCUUCAGUAUUGAUUCCAUGAAGUCUUCUUUCAGCUCUUUGAGUUGCCCUGUUUCCAUUGAUGGUCAACAUGUGACGGAUCUUUAUUUUUUGAUUCAUACUCUGGGUAGAGAUGUGCCUUUGCAGCCUACAAAUGGUACUCGUGUGUCUGGCAGGAGUGCAUCAGUGGCAUUACAGCUGCAAAGAGAAAUUUUUAUAUACCCGACUGUUCAAGUGUACAAUUUCUUGCAGACAGACAUACAUGUGCUUCUGACCGACUCCAAACCGGAGAAUACCAGAGACGAUAAUUUUGGCCUCAUUGGAAAGGAGGCAACAAUUACAAGUGGUUCAAGCGCUUAUUUCUAUGUGAAUCCUGCCAUGUUUAAUUUUUCAGUCACACUAAUUUCAUAUGGUUCAAAGUCCAAGGCAGCUAAUAGUGGUGAUUGGGCCAAGAGAAUGCAAAAGCAGACAGCUCGAGCUCAAUUCCUUGAUCUAGAAUUAGAGUUUUUUCCUGGGAAGUUUCAUUCUUCUUUAAGAUUGUUGCGUCAGGAGAAAGGCUUGCUGGAGGUUGCUCUUUUCACAAGAUAUACACUACAAAAUACAAGUGACUACCCCUUGCUGUGCACACCUUCUGGUCAAAAACCACUACCCGCGUUUGAAAUUGGAAAAGACAAUAUUAAUCUUCCUCCACAGAAUGGUUGUAUUUUGCCCUCAAUGUCAAUGAGCUCCUGGUUUACAAAGUCAAAUAAACUGCAAAUAAGCCUGCAUGACGAGAAAGGAUCAGAAGCAUUUAUUGAUUUAGAAGCAUUAUCUGGUUUCACUGAAUUUUUUCUUGAGAUCCAUGAUGAUAUAUUUCCCCAUCGGAUGGCAGCUUUCGGCAUGUCUUUACAACCUGUUAUUUAUGGCUUGCAUGUGUCAUCACAAGUUGUAUUAAUCGUACCAAGAUAUGUGAUCUCAAAUGAGUCUGCUACUGCAGUUGCUGUUCGCCAAUGUCUUGUUCAGGAUGACAUAGAUGGAUUGACAAUUGAAGCUAAACAGAGGGCUACCUUACAGACAUGGAAACCUGGAAAAAAGCGAGAAGGAAACUACUUUGAUUUGUUUCUUAAGAAGCACAAAAAUGUAUCCGAGGAUUCACUCAUUUUUAUCCAGUUUUGUCCAAAAGAAACAGGAUAUGGUUGGUCUGGACCAAUUUGUGUUUCAUCAAUCGGCCGUUUUUUCAUGAAGUUUAGAAGAUCAGAAGAUAUGGUAAUAGAUGGGAUUAACAAAGACACUUUACAAGACGGGAAGCUGAAACAGUUUGCUUCUGUUGAUGUUGUUCAAGAGAAUACAUCUUUUGUUCUACACUUCACCAAGCCACCAAAGGUUGCACUACCAUAUCGGGUAGAGAAUUGCUUGAAUAAAGCAUCUGUCAUGUAUUUCCAGAAGGAUUCAGAAGAAUCAGAUAUGUUAGGCCCUCAAGAAUCAGAACAGUAUGCAUGGGAUGACUCGAGUUUACCCCGGAAGUUGGUUGUGCGCAUUGUUGAUACACCAGCACUCCGUGAAAUUAAAAUUGAUAAGAUCGGUCCAUGGAAGCCAUUCUUGAAGAUGCGAAGCAGGCUCAAUCUGGAUUUCUCGUUUAGUAAUGGACUCAGUUCAGAAAAACAAGGAUUUGAUGAUUCAUUUGGACUGAGGGUGUUUAAGAUUGGCUAUGAAGUAUAUGCCGAUGGAUUAACCAGAGUUCUACGGAUAUGUGAACAGGCAGAGAAUCCCAAAGUUGAGAAAAUUCAACGGCCUAUAGCACAUGCACAGUUCAGAAUAUCUUAUAUGUGUAUUCAUCUUCUUGAUAAGGGGCAGAGCGACGAAAUGCUUCAGUCACCCUCUACAAUCUUAAUGGCAACAUUUCAGCGUGUAUCUGCUGAUUCAGUUAUCACAGAUAGACACAAGAAUAUGGAUGUUGCAGUUUAUUCAGUAAAUGUGGAUGAAAAGUGGGAUGGAGCUUCCUUUGGAUCAGUUUUCAGGAUGAACAAGCUUCAGGGUGAUGCUCUCAAUGAAAAUAUUCUUCGUAUAGUUUGUGUACUCAAUUCAUCGAAUUCCAGUGUCAAACAAGUCCACUACUGUUCCAUAAUUCUGCAGCCGAUUGAUCUGAAGGUUGAUGAGGAAACGUUAAUGAAGCUUGUACCAUUCUGGAGAACAUCCCUUGCUCCUGCUGGUACACCGAGCACACAAUUUUAUUUUAGACAAUUCGAAGUACAUCCAAUUAAGAUCAUCGCAAGCUUUCGUCCUGGAAGAUCACAGACAUCUUACAGCUCUUCUCAAGAGGCUCUGAGAGCGCUAUUGCACAGUGUUAUAAAGGUUCCCGAGAUAAGUAAUUCAGCGGUGGAGCUCAAUGGUGUUCUCCUAAAUCAUGCUUUGGUUACAUUUCGUGAGCUAUUUUUAAAAUGCGCCCAGCAUUAUUCAUGGUAUGUCCUCAGGGCAAUCUAUGUAACAAAGGGAAGCUCGUUGCUUCCUCCAUCUUUCGCCUCGAUGUUUGACGACUCGGCUUCAUCUGUUCUUGAUGUUUUCUUUGACCCUUCUGACGGCUCACUCAACCUCCCUGGGCUUACCAUAGGCAUGUUUAAGUUUAUAAGCAAAAAUAUGAAAUCAGGUGGAACAAAGCGGUACCUUGGUGAUCUUGGGAAAACUGUUAAAACUGCAAGUUCAAAUGCUCUCUUUGCUGCUAUCACGGAAGUUUCAGAUAGCGUUGUGAAAGGAGCAGAAACAAAUGGUUUAAAUGGAAUGGUUACCGGCUUCCACAGAGGUAUGUUGAGGUUGGCAAUGGAGCCAUCUGUGUUAGGGCAGGCUAUAAUGGAGGGUGGUCCAGACAGAAAGAUCAAACUUGAUCAUAUCCCCGGACUUGAUGAGCUAUACAUUGAAGGGUACCUGCAAGCCAUGCUGGAUGUCAUGUAUAAACAAGAGUACCUUCGUGUGAGGGUGAUUGAUGACCUGGUUUUCCUAAAAAAUCUACCACCGAACAGCGCUCUCAUAAAUGAAAUUGUGGAAAACGUGAAGGGCUUUCUCGUGAGCAAGGCAUUGUUGAAAGGAGACGCCUCUACGGUUCGGUCUUGGCGCCGCCUGCGAAAUGAGCCUGAGUGGAAGAUUGCGCCGACGGUGCUCACCCUGUGCGAGCACCUGUUUGUGAGCUUCGCGGUGCGCCUGCUGCACCAGGAGGCCACCAAGGCCGUAGCGGAGGUCACGACCAAAGUGAAGGGACAACUCACUGGAGGCAAAGACGAAGGCGAAUCGUCGUCCGGCGGAGGAACCCUGGCUAAGCGGAGCAGGCUGUGGACGGUUGGCAGGUUCGCGGCUUCAGGCGUCGUCGCCUACGUGGACGGUCGGCUGUGCCGCCACAUACCCAACCCAAUCGCCAGGAGAAUCGUGAGCGGGUUCCUCCUGAGCUUCAUCGACAGAAGGGACGACGAAUAG
rnacentral:rRNA from 1 species